rnacentral:lncRNA from 10 species
CACAAAAGCCCACCCCACAUCAAGAGGAGGGGAAUUGAACUCCACCUCUUGAUGGAGAAAUGAUAAGGUAAUAGAAAAGCACGGGGUUGGGGAGAGGUGGGAGAUACUGCAUUCAUCUUUUAAAAAUACAACUGCAACCAUCUUUUCCAUGCAGGGUGAAAUCAUCUUUGCAAGCCUUCCUCCAAGGCUAGCUCUUUUCAAGACUUCCUCUGUGACUCUCUUUUUUCCUGCCCAGCAUUCAGCCACCUUUUCUACCUGUUUUAAUCUCCACUCUUCCCCCAACCCAGCCCCUCAACUGUGUUUGUCAUCUCUUCCUGAUUCCCACUUAUUAUGCAGACCAAAACCUCUCCAGCUCUCCAGCUGUGUGAUCCUUUCCUAAAAAGGCACUGAACGAACAGUUCUCAUGAAUGAAGGGAGUACAGAAACCCAUCGGAACAUGAUGACUAAGACGCAGGGCAGCCCCGGGACAGCCCCUGACUGAAACAUCCCUGAGUUCUCUGAGCAUCAAACACGCCUGUGAGAUCCUUGAUUACACUGCGGGUAAGCAGACAGGAGGACAGAUGAUGUGUAAGGUUGGAGAACGCCAGGAAAAUGAAUGGACUUCAAGACAAGGAAAGGCUUUCAGGGAAUACUUUCCAAGCCCGCAGGAAUGUAAGGACGCUCCCACAUUGCUGGCCUUCUCUCUCAAGCAGAUGCACUCUUCUCCUUUGAGGCUGCAGAUGCCCGGAACACACUUCCACUGCAGCAGCAUCAAGAUGACAGGCACACUAUCCUCCCGACCAGGCCCCGAGCAACAUGAUCAUUUCUCAUUCCUAAUUCCCAGGAAACCAUGGCGCAGAGGGGGACUCAGUGAGUAUUUGUUGACCUGAGUCAGAUCAAUGAAAGGCAAGACUUCAGACUUUGC